rnacentral:rRNA from 1 species
UAAAGAAAGCGUAAUAGCUCCCUGGUCGAGUCGGCCUGCGCGGAAAAUGUACCGGGGCUAAACCAUGCACCGAAGCUGCGGCAGCGACACUGUGUGUUGUUGGGUAGGGGAGCGUUCUGUAAGCCUGUGAAGGUGGCCUGUGAGGGUUGCUGGAGGUAUCAGAAGUGCGAAUGCUGACAUAAGUAACGAUAAAGCGGGUGAAAAGCCCGCUCGCCGGAAGACCAA